rnacentral:rRNA from 1 species
AUUGAACGCUGGCGGCAUGCUUUACACAUGCAAGUCGAACGGUAACAGGCCUUCCGUUGCUGUCGAGUGGUGACCGCGUGCGUAAUACUUCGGAACGUACCCCGUGCCUGUGGAUAACGCAGCGCAUGCUGUGCUCGUACCGCAUGUGAUCUGAGGAUGAAAGCGGGGGAGCGCGCAGCAAUAUUUGGCCUCUCGUCUUUGGUACAGCCGAUGUCGCAUUAGCUAGUUGGUUAGGUAAAGGCCUACCAAGGCGACGAUCCGUAGCUUGUCUGAGAGGACGACCAGCCACACUGGGACUGAGACACGGCCCAGACUCCUACGGGAGGCAGCAGUAGGGAAUCUUGGACAAUGGGCGCGAGCCUGAUCCAGCAAUGCCGCGUGAGGGAAGAAGGCCUUCGGGUUGUAAAACGCUGUUAGUAGGAACGAAACGGUGUCUGAGAAAACAGGGCGCUAAUGACGGUACCUGAAGAAUAAGCAACGGCUAACUACGUG